rnacentral:rRNA from 1 species
CACGUAGGGGGCAAGCGUUGUCCGGAUUUAUUGGGCGUAAAGAGCUCGUAGGCGGUUCGGUAAGUUGGGUGUGAAACCUCCAGGCUCAACCUGGAGACGCCACCCGAUACUGCUGUGACUAGAGUCCGGUAGGGGAGCGUGGAAUUCCUGGUGUAGCGGUGGAAUGCGCAGAUAUCAGGAGGAACACCGGUGGCGAAGGCGGGUCUCUGGGCAGUAACUGACGCUGAGGAGCGAAAGCGUGGGGAGCGAACAGG